UCCGGCUUGACGCCGGCAGUCCCCCGAGAGUCCUCAGCAUGACCUGUUAGUAACACGGGGCAAGGGUUGCGCUCGUUGCGGGACUUAACCCAACAUCUCACGACACGAGCUGACGACAGCCAUGCAGCACCUGUGUUCCCGUUCCCUUUCGGGCACAGCGGAAUCUCUUCCGCCUCCAGGACAUGUCAAGGCCAGGUAAGGUUCUUCGCGUUGCAUCGAAUUGAGCCACAUACUCCACCGCUUGUGCAGGCCCCCGUCAAUUUCUUUGAGUUUUAAUCUUGCGACCGUACUCCCCAGGCGGCACGUUUAACGCGUUAGCUUCGCCACAAAAGGGGUCGAUUCCUUUUACAGCAAACGUGCACCGUUUACAGCUAGGACUAC
rnacentral:misc_RNA from 1 species